CUGGGAUAAAUUUUUAUCCUUGUCCUCCUGGCACCUACAACCCCUCCUACGGCCUGAGCCAGGCUGAGAGGUGCCAGCAGUGCCCUGCAGGAAUGUUCUGUGGAGAAUGGGGAUUAUCCUCUCCCAGUGGUCCCUGCUGGCCAGGAUUCUUCUGCACAGCAGGAGCAAGUGUCCCAAACCCCAGUGGAGCCACAAACACGAGCACUGGUGGCCCCUGCCCACCUGGACACUUCUGCCCAGCUGGCACCAGUAUCCCCCAACCGUGCCCUGUGGGCACUUACUCGGACAGGCUCCACAAUGGGCAGGAUUCCAGCUGCACACAGUGCCCACCUGGCCAUUUCUGUGGCUCCCCUGGCCUCACAGCCCCCUCAGGACCCUGCUCACCUGGGUACUUCUGCCAACCUGGAGC